rnacentral:rRNA from 1 species
UCCGUAGGUGAACCUGCGGAAGGAUCAUUAACGAGUCGUUACGGGGUUGUUUGCUGGCUUCCGUCACGGGAGCAUGUGCACGCCUCGCAUCCACUUCAACCUCACCUGUGCACUUCAGAGGACCUCUUCGGUCCUCUUUCACACAAACCACAUAAUGUCACAGUAGAACGUUUUUGUUAUUAAACAAUACAACUUUCAACAACGGAUCUCUUGGCUCUCGCAUCGAUGAAGAACGCAGCGAAAUGCGAUAAGUAAUGUGAAUUGCAGAAUUCAGUGAAUCAUCGAAUCUUUGAACGCACCUUGCGCUCCUUGGUAUUCCGAGGAGCAUGCCUGUUUGAGUGUCGUGUAAUUCUCAAUCCCGAUCGGUUUUGGCCGACUUCGAGAUUGGAUUUGGGAGUCUGCUGUGCCUUGCAUUAGGUUCGGCUCUCCUUGAAUGCAUUAGCUCGGUCACGUAGUUGCCCGACGGUUCACGGUGUGAUAGUUUAUCUUCAUCGCCGUUCUGACCGCUCGGUGCCUGUGUUCGCCGGCUUCUAAUACCGUGUCUCAGACACGACUUCUUUGACGCUUGACCUCAAAUCAGGUAGGACUACCCGCUGAACUUAAGCAUAUCAAUAAGCGGAGGA